rnacentral:rRNA from 1 species
UGGGGAAUAUUGGACAAUGGGGGCAACCCUGAUCCAGCCAUGCCGCGUGAGUGAUGAAGGCCUUCGGGUUGUAAAGCUCUUUUGGCGGGGACGAUGAUGACGGUACCCGCAGAAUAAGCCCCGGCUAACUUCGUGCCAGCAGCCGCGGUAAGACGAAGGGGGCUAGCGUUGUUCGGAAUUACUGGGCGUAAAGCGAGUGUAGGCGGUUGCCGUAGUCAGGUGUGAAAGCCUUGAGCUCAACUCAAGAAAUGCACUUGAUACUGGGUGACUAGAGGACCGGAGAGGAUAGUGGAAUUCCCAGUGUAGUGGUGAAAUACGUAGAGAUUGGGAAGAACACCAGUGGCGAAGGCGGCUAUCUGGACGGUUACUGACGCUAAGACUCGAAAGCGUGGGGAGCAAACAGGAUUAGAUACCCUGGUAGUCCACGCCGUAAACGAUGGGUGCUAGACGUUGGCGAGCUUGCUCGUCAGUGUCGCAGCUAACGCGUUAAGCACCCCGCCUGGGGAGUACGGCCGCAAGGUUGAAACUUAAAGGAAUUGACGGGGGUCAUAGCUG